GCCCCUGUAGCUCAGCGGUGGAGCGUGCGGCUGUUAACCGCAAGGUCGCCAGUUCGAGUCUGGCCAGGGGCG
rnacentral:tRNA from 1 species